rnacentral:rRNA from 1 species
GUCCUAGCCGUAAACGAUGGACACUAGGUGUCGGGGGUGUCGACUCCCCCGGUGCCGAAGCUAACGCAUUAAGUGUCCCGCCUGGGGAGUACGGCCGCAAGGCUAAAACUCAAAGGAAUUGACGGGGGCCCGCACAAGCAGUGGAGCAUGUGGUUUAAUUCGACGCAACGCGAAGAACCUUACCUGGGCUUGACAUGUACGUGGUAGGAAUUGGAAACAUGACAGACCCUUCGGGGAGCGUACACAGGUGGUGCAUGGCUGUCGU